rnacentral:rRNA from 1 species
CGCCUGUUUAUCAAAAACAUUUUUUCUUUAGUUUGAAAUAAGGUCUGCCCAGUGUUUAUAUAAACGGCUGCGGUAUCUUGACUGUGCUAAGGUAGCAUAAUAAUUUGUUUUUUAAUUGGAUACUGGAAUAAAUGAUUUUACAAUUAAAUUUUUUCUUUUUUGAGUUUAAUAAUUUAGAGUUUAAGUUAAAAUUCUUAAAUUUAUAAAAAAGACGAUAAGACCCUAAAAGCUUUAUUUUAUUUUCUUUUUAAUAAAGACAAAAAUUUUUUACUGGGGUAGUAUUUAUUUAAGGGUAAUAAAAUAAAAAACUUUUGGUUUUAUUUCUCUUUAUUAGAAAUUAAAUUAGUUACUUUAGGGAUAACAGCGUAAUAUUGUUGGAGAGAACAUAUCUAUAACAAUGUUUACGACCUCGAUGUUGAAUUAAUAGACCUUUUUAAAGCAGAUUUUAAAUAAGGGGGUUUGUUCAACCUUUAAUUUAUUACAUGAUCUGAGUUCAAACCGGAG